rnacentral:tRNA from 1 species
CGGAACAUAGCUCAGCGGGAGAGCAGCUGGCUUAUAUCCAGCGUGGUGGAGGUUCGAGUCCUUCUGUUCCGA